GACCUCUUGCUAACAAACCUGUUUGACUCUCAAAGACAAAAAGGAGGCUGACCUUAUUUCGGGGCCAGCAGGGCUGCAGCGGGCUGAGGGUCCCUAGCAGAGGCUGGAGAGGGCUGUCCUCCUGAUGCUUUUUUUUGUCUUGUAUCAGAUCUUCCCACAGCUUCACCCAGCUGCCCCCAAGGGGAGNCACACUCACACACACAAACACACACUAACACACACACUCACACACUAACACACACUCGUACUUACACUAUCACACUCACACUCACACAUGCACUUAAACUCAUACACACUCUUACACACUCACACUCACACACUCAUAAUUACACUCUCGCACACUCACACUCAUACGCACACACACUCACUCACACACUUACACUCACACUCACACACUCACUAAAACACACAAUCAUACUUACACUCUCACACUCACACUCACUCACUUUCACACACACUCACUCUCACAUUCAUACACAUGGACUCCCACUUACAUUCUCACACGCACUUACAUUCACACAUUCACUGGAGCUUGAUUCUGUGCCAAGGAAACCUACAACCCUACACACACAGACACACACACACUUACACUCAUACACACUCAGACACACACUCACACGCUCACACACACUCACACUCUAACACACAUGCACUCACACACACACAUGCACAUACACCCAUACACACUCUCACACACUCAUAAACACUAACACAUACACACACUCUCACACACACAGCCAGGAACCCAAGGCCAUCAUGGCUACACACAUCAUCCCCUCUACAAGGCCACUUCCUGCCAUUAAAAUGCAGGAGGAAGGAAGUCCAGGAUCCAAGGGGAGAGGGGAGACAUCUGGACCCAGAAAGGUAAGUGCAACCUGCCUCUCUCCAUCUCCAUCUCCAUCUUCUUCUUCUUCUUCUUCUCCUUCUCUCGUAAGUGCCAAAGGAACAGGAACCCUCCGACUCCCAGGAUGAAAAACCCAGCCAGGAAGGCCCCUAUGGCACCUCUCGUGUGGCCAGCUGUGGGCGCUCAUUUCCAGAGCGUUAAGAAAACAAGAGAGUUAAGAGAGGAUACAGCAUAAGAGAAGCUGACACACCCAUUUCCAGGGGAGGUGGAGAAGGUGCAGGUGCAGGGGGGCCUGGUUCAGAAGCCGCAGAGGGAGGGCGUGGCAGGUCCACUCAUUCAAGCAGUGGCCCAGGUCCUUCGUGGAGCAGGGAAGACGGGGAUGAGCAAGGUGGGGUCUGUGAACAAGUCAUCACCAGGAAGAGACAGAAGCUCUCAAUCACCAGGUGAAGGAUCUCACUGCAGUAGAGGUUGACCCAUGUUCGAGGUCUACAGUGAAACCCCCAAGGACAUGCGCAGUCAUCUAUGUGUGGGGAGUGGCAGGAGUUUCACAGAUACUCAGUGUGGCAGGAGCGUCCUGCAGGGGAGGGACAGCACAGGAGGCAGGGCUAGGUGGGGAGGCCCGGGAGGCAGCCGUGAGGCCAGGAGGUUUGGUGGGCCAUGUUGAACUUCCUCUGAGAGUCCAGGGUGGAGGUGGGGGUCACAGGACCAGGGGUGGUGACUGCACUGACCAGUCAGGCUCCUCCAGCAGCCCCCAGAGGAAGACUGAGAGAGGACGGGGUGCACACGGGUCCCAGGCAUUCGGGUUCAGUGAGACACCUACUGGGCACAAACUGCCCAGAACUGAGCCUGACACCUGGGCUAAGAGGAGAGAAGGAUGUGUCCCCUGCCCUCAUGGUGUCCCACUCAGGGUGGACUCAGACCCAGAAAGGGAUCUUUCCACUCAGGGGGGAUGGCCAUGGGCAGCUCCUUAAAGAGGCUGCACCUUCAGAGCCAGCAGUGGCUUCACACGUUAGGGAAGGUCAGCAAGCAGCUGUGUCCCUGUGUGGAUGAGGCCACCAUCAGGGACACAGGACCCUCUAAGCCCUACAUCCUAUGGGGACUAAGUGGAGGUCGACCCCAGAGAUGACACAGACAAAGGCCACAAUCCGAUCUGUUUUUUCAAAGAUGACACUGGACACAGGGCAUGGGGAUGGGGCAAGACAGGUCCUGGAAGGCUGCCCCUGGCCCAGGGGGAAGGGCAUGGAGGUGAGGGAUAUUUAAAGACAGUUGUGAGCUGGAUGCGACCCCACACUUCUGGAUUGGAGUGACCAAGGGAAGGCAGUGCUGUUCAUAAACACAGCAGCAAAAAAGCCAAGGACUCUGGGGCUCCAGAGCCACCUGAGCCCUUCCCUGUGCCCCUCCCUCCCGCAGGUGCACUCACCUGGGCUACAGAGGUCAACGAGCUGUAAGGUGGCAUUUUUCUGGUCCACNCCCCAGAGAUGACACAGACAAAGGCCACAAUUCGAUCUGUUUUCCCAAAGAUGACUCUGGACACAGGGCAUGGUGACAGAAGGGACAGGUCCUGGAAGACUGCCCCUGGCCCAGGGGGAAAGGCCUGGAGUUGAGGGAUAUUUAAAGACAGUCAUGAGCUGGAUGCGACCCCACACUUCUGGAUUGGAGUGACCAAGGGAAGGCAGUGCUGUUCAUAAACACAGCAGCAAAAAAGCCAGGGACCUUCAGGCUCCAGAGCCACCUGAGCCCUUCCUGUACCCCUCCCUCCUGCAGGUGCACUCACCUGGGCUACAGAGGUCAACGAGCUGUAAGGUGGCAUUUUUCUGGUCCACUGGGUUGCUGAGGACACAGGUGAAGCUGACAUUGGGCUGGCUCGGUGGCAGGCUCAAGGCCAGGGUCCAAGGGUUGGGGGGUCCUGGUGCCCCUCUCUGCUCCAGCUCACUGGGGGGACCCUGGACCUCCCAGGUUACAUUCAGGACCUCUACAGCCUCUCGGUUCCCACACUCCAGAGUGACAUUGCACCAGCUGGGCGUGAUGGACGCUGACGUGGUCCAGAUCUGGGCAAGGGGCACAGGAUCUGAGGAAGGAGGGGACAAAAGGAGACAGCCUCACACAUGCCACACAUUGUCCUCCAGUGUCUCGCUGACCAGAGGCAGGAGCCCUAGGAGGAAGCUGGGAGCACGUUACAAAUAAAGCACAAUUUCCCCAGAGCUACAUGUUGACAAGUGACAGCAGCCACUUUAUUAAGCUCAUGUGAUCUCACUAGAUGAAAGAAGUCUAAACUUUUUUUACCAUGAGAAAAUGAUGGCUGAAUCCCAGUUUUUAAGGACCAUUAUUCCUAGAAGAUAGGGGUCUUCUGGAAGGGAAGGAAGAGUGGGACAGAAGAGCUUGUCUGGGGCCAGGGUCCUUUGUCCUGGGUCUUCAGCUGAGACAGUGCCUGGGACUGCACAGCCUGAUUGGGGCAGGACACCAGGCCAGCUCUGGGAGGACCCAGAAAGCUCAGGUCAAAACAGGAGUCAUUGUGGGAGAUACCGUGGCUGCAACAGAGAGCACAGCUCUGCAGGCAGUUAGAAUGUGACCCUAAAUGUGUGCUCCCAACUGGGGGAGAAGGGUUAGAUCCACAGGCCAGUGUGGAAAUCACACAGGACCUGCACCUGGAGUCCACUCCCUGCAGAGGGACUGCCCUAGGCAGAGAGGGACUGUGGGGACCCUAGAGUUGGCAAAACGGAUCUCCUGGGACAUGCAGCAGCAUCACUUCUCCUACCCUAUAA
rnacentral:lncRNA from 1 species